AACGAACGCUGGCGGCAUGCCUAACACAUGCAAGUCGAACGAGACCUUCGGGUCUAGUUGCGUCUGGGUGCGGAACGCGUGGGAAUCAGCCCCUUGGUUGGGCAUAACAGUUAGAAAAGACUGCUACUUGCGGAUGAUGACUUCGGUCCUAGGAUUUAUCGCCAAGGGAUGAGCCCGCGUAGGAUUAGGUAGUUGGUGGGGUAAAGGCUCACCAAGCCGACGAUCCUUAGCUGGUCUGAGAGGAUGAUCAGCCACACUGGGACUGAGACACGGCCCAGACGCCUACGGGAGGCAGCAGUGGGGAAUAUUGGACAAUGGGCGAAAGCCUGAUCCAGCAAUGCCGCGUGAGUGAUGAAGGCCUUAGGGUUGUAAAGCUCUUUUACCAGGGAUGAUAAAGACAGUACCUGGAGAAUAAGCUCCGGCUAACUCCGUGCAGCAGCCGCAGUAA
rnacentral:rRNA from 1 species